rnacentral:rRNA from 1 species
AGUUCGGUCCCUAUCUGCCGUGGGCGUUGGAUGAUUGAAGGGAGUUGCUCCUAGUACGAGAGGACCGGAGUGAACGAACCUCUGGUGUUCGGGUUGUCACGCCAGUGGCACUGCCCGGUAGCUAAGUUCGGAAUCGAUAACCGCUGAAAGCAUCUAAGCGGGAAGCGAGCCCUGAGAUGAGUCAUCCCUGACCCCUUGAGGGUCCUAAAGGGCCGUUGGAGACCACAACGUUGAUAGGUGGGGUGUGUAAGCGCAGUGAUGUGUUGAGCUAACCCAUACUAAUUACCCGUGAGGCUUAACCAUACAACACCCAAGAAGUGUUCU